rnacentral:snoRNA from 1 species
AACCUGGAUGAUGAACAAACCUACCCAAGCAUAGUUCACCUGAAGAUCUUCGGAUUGCUGAACGACAACCUUUAUCCAUCUUUCUUAUUAUCUGACU